rnacentral:tRNA from 1 species
GGGCUUGUGGUGAAAUUGGCAGACACGCAAGACUUAGGAUCUUGUGCUUAAUUGCGUGCGGGUUCAAAUCCCGCCAAGCCCA